rnacentral:rRNA from 3 species
GCGGCGGACGGGUGAGUAACACGUGGGCAACCUGCCCUGCAGACUGGGAUAACUUCGGGAAACCGGAGCUAAUACCGGAUAACACCGAAAACCGCAUGGUUUUCGGUUGAAAGGCGGCUUUUAGCUGUCACUGCAGGAUGGGCCCGCGGCGCAUUAGCUAGUUGGUGAGGUAACGGCUCACCAAGGCGACGAUGCGUAGCCGACCUGAGAGGGUGACCGGCCACACUGGGACUGAGACACGGCCCAGACUCCUACGGGAGGCAGCAGUAGGGAAUCUUCCGCAAUGGACGAAAGUCUGACGGAGCAACGCCGCGUGAGCGAAGAAGGUCUUCGGAUCGUAAAGCUCUGUUGUCAGGGAAGAACAAGUACCGUUCGAACAGGGCGGUACCUUGACGGUACCUGACAAGGAAGCCACGGCUAACUACUUGCCACCACCCGCGGUAAUAC